GUCUAANUAUAAGCAANUUAUACAGUGAAACUGCGAAUGGCUCAUUAAAUCAGUUAUCGUUUAUUUGAUAGUGCCUUACUACUCGGAUAUCCGUGGUAAUUCUAGAGCUAAUACGUGCUAACAACCCCGACUAUUUGGGAGGGGUGUAUUUAUUAGAUAAAAAAUCAAUGCUCUUCGGAGCUCUUUGAUGAUUCAUAAUAACUUUUCGAAUCGCAUGGCUUUAUGCUGGCGAUGGUUCAUUCAAAUUUCUGCCCUAUCAACUUUCGAUGGUAGGAUAGUGGCCUACCAUGGUUGCAACGGGUAACGGGGAAUUAGGGUUCGAUUCCGGAGAGGGAGCCUGAGAAACGGCUACCACAUCCAAGGAUGGCAGCAGGCGCGCAAAUUACCCAAUCCCAAUACGGGGAGGUAGUGACAAUAAAUAACGAUACAGGGCCCUUUCGGGUCUUGUAAUUGGAAUGAGUACAAUUUAAAUACCUUAACGAGGAACAAUUGGAGGGCAAGUCUGGUGCCAGCAGCCGCGGUAAUUCCAGCUCCAAGAGCGUAUGUAAAAGUUGUUGCAGUUAAAAAGCUCGUAGUUGAACCUUGGGCUUGGUUGGCCGGUCCGCUUUUUUGCGAGUACUGGACCCAACCGAGCCUUUCCUUCUGGCUAACUAGUUGCCCUUGUGGUGGCUAGCGAACCAGGACUUUUACUUUGAAAAAAUUAGAGUGUUCAAAGCAGGCAUUAGCUUGAAUAUAUUAGCAUGGAAUAAUAGAAUAGGACGUUAUGGUUCUAUUUUGUUGGUUUCUAGGACCAUCGUAAUGAUUAAUAGGGACGGUCGGGGGCAUCAGUAUUCAGUUGUCAGAGGUGAAAUUCUUGGAUUUACUGAAGACUAACUACUGCGAAAGCAUUUGCCAAGGACGUUUUCAUUAAUCAAGAACGAAAGUUAGGGGAUCGAAGAUGAUCAGAUACCGUCGUAGUCUUAACCAUAAACUAUGCCGACUAGGGAUCGGGUGCUGUCUUUUUUUAGCACACUCGGCACCUUACGAGAAAUCAAAGUUUUUGGGUUCUGGGGGGAGUAUGGUCGCAAGGCUGAAACUUAAAGGAAUUGACGGAAGGGCACCACCAGGAGUGGAGCCUGCGGCUUAAUUUGACUCAACACGGGGAAACUCACCAGGUCCAGACACAAUAAGGAUUGACAGAUUGAGAGCUCUUUCUUGAUUUUGUGGGUGGUGGUGCAUGGCCGUUCUUAGUUGGUGGAGUGAUUUGUCUGCUUAAUUGCGAUAACGAACGAGACCUUAACCUACUAAAUAGUGCUGCUAGCAUUUGCUGGUAUAGUUACUUCUUAGAGGGACUAUCGAUUUCAAGUCGAUGGAAGUUUGAGGCAAUAACAGGUCUGUGAUGCCCUUAGACGUUCUGGGCCGCACGCGCGCUACACUGACGGAGCCAGCGAGUAUUAACCUUGGCCGAGAGGUCUGGGAAAUCUUGUGAAACUCCGUCGUGCUGGGGAUAGAGCAUUGUAAUUAUUGCUCUUCAACGAGGAAUUCCUAGUAAGCGCAAGUCAUCAGCUUGCGUUGAUUACGUCCCUGCCCUUUGUACACACCGCCCGUCGCUACUACCGAUUGAAUGGCUUAGUGAGGCUUCCGGAUUGGUUUAAAGAAGGGGGCAACUCCAUCUUGGAACUGAAAAGCUAGUCAAACUUGGUCAUUUAGAGGAAGUAAAAGUCNUAACAAGGUUUCCGUAGGUGAACCUGCGNAAGG
rnacentral:rRNA from 1 species